rnacentral:rRNA from 1 species
GACGAACGCUGGCGGCGUGCUUAACACAUGCAAGUCGAACGGAAAGGCCCUGCUUUUGUGGGGUGCUCGAGUGGUGAACGGGUGAGUAACACGUGAGUAACCUGCCCUUGACUUUGGGAUAACUUCAGGAAACUGGGGCUAAUACCGGAUAGGAGCUCCUGCUGCAUGGUGGGGGUUGGAAAGUUUCGGCGGUUGGGGAUGGACUCGCGGCUUAUCAGCUUGUUGGUGGGGUAGUGGCUUACCAAGGCUUUGACGGGUAGCCGGCCUGAGAGGGUGACCGGCCACAUUGGGACUGAGAUACGGCCCAGACUCCUACGGGAGGCAGCAGUGGGGAAUAUUGCACAAUGGGCGGAAGUCUGAUGCAGCAACGCCGCGUGCGGGAUGACGGCCUUCGGGUUGUAAACCGCUUUCGCCUGUGACGAAGCGUGAGUGACGGUAAUGGGUAAAGAAGCACCGGCUAACUACGUG